rnacentral:lncRNA from 1 species
GGGGGUAGUCCUUGGUUCAGAGAUAACUCUUUAAAUGAAUUAUGCGUUUGUAAAAGUCUAGUUUCGUCAAUGAAUUUUAAGCAUUUACCUGAAACAGAUUGGAAAUAAUCUAUGUAUCCAAGAAGCUUAGAACAUAUUUAUGAAAAUGGCUGACACAAACGUACUGAUGAUUUUAAGAGUUAUUUUCCUUAACCUAGGUCUACCUCCUUAAUACAGUCUUUUCGAUUUUAAUCCAUCAUACUCAGUUGUUGAAUAUUGUUGGUUGUUAACUAGUUUUUUAUUUUACUAUAAAAGCCAUUUUUAGGACACGUUAAGCUUUCUAUAGCAAUAAUCCUACAAAUCGUUUCGUACUGAAAUGUUUCACAUAAAUUAUCAUUAUCAAGUUGGAAUGAUGUAAAAAAUCGUUUAUGUCAAAUGGUUUUGCAAUAUGUUAAAAAAAAUAGAAUAUAUAAUUUACAACUAAUUAAGGGACUGAUUGUCUUUGAAAAACUUAACAUUAUAUCUUAAAAUAUUACUUUUCUAUCAUAUUCUGUGUCUGUUAUAAUUCAGUAACAAUUUGUCGAGGAUUGUGCUGGCAAGAGAUUUCAGUCGUUCAUCUUUCUUUGUCUAUUUUUGAAGCAUAAUGUUGUUGGAGUGCUGUCUCUUUGAAAUUUAGCUUUACAUUGCAAGUUACUUAAUAUUUUACCUUUUUAAAGCUUUUUAUUUACCACAAAUUUAAUUUCUAAAUUUCAACUUAUUUUCCUUACAAUAGAAAAAUGGAGAAUGUACAAAAUACAUAGUUUUUCUAUCGAAUAUGCUUGUACGACACAGCAUAGAGACAGCAACCAACACCACAGAGUUAAGAUAUUAC